GCGGGAGUGGCCUAGUGGUUAAGGCGCUGCUUUCCCACGGCUGACCAAGUUCUAUAGUUCGAAUCUUGCCUUCCGCA